GCGUUCAUAGCUCAACUGGAUAGAGUGUCUGACUACGAAUCAGAAGGUUGGGGGUUCGAGUCCCUUUGGACGCA
rnacentral:tRNA from 1 species